rnacentral:piRNA from 1 species
CUUUGGAAUUGACAAGGUGGCUCAGUGGA